UGUAACUGACGCUGAGGCUCGAAAGCGUGGGGAGCAACAGGAUUAGAUACCCUGGUAGUCCACGCGUAAACGAUGAGUGCUAAGUGUGGAGGGUUUCCCCCUUCAGUGCUGCAGCUAACGCAUUAAGCACUCCGCUGGGGAGUACGACCGCAAGGUUGAAACUCAAAGGAAUUGACGGGGGCCCGCACAAGCGGUGGAGCAUGUGGUUUAAUUCGAAGCAACGCGAAGAACCUUACCAGGUCUUGACAUCCUUUGACCACUCUAGAGAUAGAGCUUUCCCUUCGGGGACAAAGUGACAGGUGGUGCAUGGUUGUCGUCAGCUCGUGUCGUGAGAUGUUGGGUUAAGUCCCGCAACGAGCGCAACCCUUAUUGUUAGUUGCCAUCAUUCAGUUGGGCACUCUAGCGAGACUGCCGGUGACAAACCGGAGGAAGGUGGGGAUGACGUCAAAUCAUCAUGCCCCUUAUGACCUGGGCUACACACGUGCUACAAUGGGAAGUACAACGAGUCGCUAGGCCGCGAGGUCAUGCAAAUCUCUUAAAGCUUCUCUCAGUUCGGAUUGCAGGCUGCAACUCGCCUGCAUGAAGCCGGAAUCGCUAGUAAUCGCGGAUCAGCACGCCGCGGUGAAUACGUUCCCGGGCCUUGUACACACCGCCCGUCACACCACGAAAGUUUGUAACACCCGAAGUCGGUGAGGUAACCUUUUGGAGCCAGCCGCCUAAGGUGGGAUAGAUGAUUGGGGUGAAGUCGUAACAAGGUAACCAAGGGCGAAUUCUG
rnacentral:rRNA from 1 species